UGUGUGCUGGAGGAUGAUGAUAAGGAGUGAUCCAUCGGCUAAGUGUCUUAUCACAAUGCUGAAACUCAGACUGCUGACAGCACGCA
rnacentral:snoRNA from 1 species